UGCCUGGAGGAUUAGUGGUCAGGCCUCAGCGCUCUCACCGCCGCAGCCUGGGCUCGAUUCCCAGCCAGGGAA
rnacentral:tRNA from 1 species